rnacentral:rRNA from 1 species
UACGGAGGGAGCUAGCGUUGUUCGGAAUUACUGGGCGUAAAGCGUCUGUAGGCGGCGUCGCAAGUCAGGGGUGAAAUCCCGGGGCUCAACCCCGGAACUGCCCUUGAAACUGCAAUGCUAGAAUAUUGGAGAGGCAAGUGGAAUUCCGAGUGUAGAGGUGAAAUUCGUAGAUAUUCGGAAGAACACCAGUGGCGAAGGCGACUUGCUGGACAAUUAUUGACGCUGAGGUGCGAAAGCGUGGGGAGCAAACAGG